rnacentral:misc_RNA from 1 species
AACGCACCUUGCGCCCUUUGGUAUUCCGAGGGGCAUGCCUGUUCGAGCGUCAUUUCAACCCUCAGGCCCACCCGGGUCUGGUGCUGGGGCUUCUCUGCGGUGGACACGCCGCAGGCCCUGAAAAGCAGUGGCGGGCUCGCUGUCACACCGAGCGUAGUAGCAUACAUCUCGCUCUGGGCGUGCUGCGGGUUCCGGCCGUUAAACCGGACACAAGUUGGGAGGGCUUAAACCCCCCCGCACGUGCCACCACCACAAGGUUGACCUCGGAUCAGGUAGGAAUACCCGCUGAACUUAA